GCCUCUUUAGCUCAGUUGGCAGAGCGGUUGCCUCGUAAGCAAAAGGUCGGGUGUUCGAUUCUCCCAAGAGGCA
rnacentral:tRNA from 1 species